UCUUAUGGAUGAGAAAAGAAAGUGGCUUUUUGAGGUGGAUUCUACUCCUGGUGAAGAUGCUGUGAA
rnacentral:pre_miRNA from 1 species